GACGAACGCUGGCGGCGUGCCUAACACAUGCAAGUCGAACGAUGAAGAAAAGAAUCGACGCUUUGGACGAAAUUCAUUUCGGAUUAGUGGCAGACGGGUGAGUAACGCGUGAGCAAUCGACCUCUUACAAAGGGAUAGCCUCGGGAAACCGGGAUUAAUACCAUCUAACAUUUCGAUGAAGCAUUUCGAUUCAAUCCAAGCUUAGGCGGUAAGACAUGGGCUCGCGUCUCAUUGACCGGAUGGUGAGGUAACGGCACACCAUAGUGACGAUGGGUAACCGGGCAGAGAGAGUGAACGGUCACACUGGAGCUAGGACACGGUCGAGACUCCUACGGGAGGCAGCAGUGGGGAAUAUUGCACAAUGGAGGGAACUAUGAAGCAGCGACGCCGCGUGAGUGAUGAAAGAAUUCGUUACGUAAAACGCUGUUCUAUGGGAAGAAAAUGACGGUACCAUAGGAGAAAGCUCCGGCUAAAUACGUG
rnacentral:rRNA from 1 species